UUCAUAUCCGAUCCGCCGGAUCUAAACGCUUUUGCGCACGAGCCUGCGGACGUGGCUGAAAUACCGCAGGCGCAAGCCUGUCAGCCUAAGGGUGCCGCCGGAAACAGCCGCGCCUUCCGUGUUUGAAAAGGAGAAUG
rnacentral:ncRNA from 1 species